CCGCCGGCUUGGCCGGUGAGGGUUGGGUCGGUGCUGUCGGUGCCGGUUCCUCCGGUUCCUCCGGUGCCGCCGGU
rnacentral:tRNA from 1 species